rnacentral:rRNA from 1 species
CCUACGGGUGGCAGCAGUGGGGAAUAUUGGACAAUGGGCGAAAGCCUGAUCCAGCCAUGCCGCGUGUGUGAAGAAGGCCUUCGGGUUGUAAAGCACUUUCAGUGGGGAAGAAAGCCUUGGGGCUAAUACCCUCGAGGAAGGACAUCACCCACAGAAGAAGCACCGGCUAACUCCGUGCCAGCAGCCGCGGUAAUACGGAGGGUGCGAGCGUUAAUCGGAAUUACUGGGCGUAAAGCGCGCGUAGGCGGUCUGAUAAGCCGGUUGUGAAAGCCCCGGGCUCAACCUGGGAACGGCAUCCGGAACUGUCAGGCUAGAGUGCAGGAGAGGAAGGUAGAAUUCCCCGUGUAGCGGUGAAAUGCGUAGAGAUCGGGAGGAUUACCAGUGGCGAAGGCGGCCUUCUGGACUGACACUGACGCUGAGGUGCGAAAGCGUGGGUAGCAAACAGGAUUAGAUACCCGAGUAGUC